ACAUCUUCCUCCUGCUGCAACACCUUCUUCAUCAUCAGGCCAGAUUCUCCAACAGAUUCAGAUCAGGAAUCCAGUUGGGUUGCUCCAAAACAUAAAUAUUACUUCCAGAAGAUUACUUUGAACAUAAAUCUAAAUAUACACUAUUUACCUCCCUGAUCAAAUGUACCUAUUAAAAUUUUACUAUUACAGUGCAUUAUUAUAGACAACAUGGACAUUGUAUGGAUACUGCAUGAACACAAGAACUGCAGAACACAAUAUGUCCAAGUGAGCUAAAAAGCAGACAGAACAUUAAUAUUUUUCAGCAAUUAAAUGUCAAUGCCUCUGUGAUUUUUCAACUUGUCUUCAUUUAAUCUUGAUAGCUUUUACCUUUUUUUAUUUUAUCAGCAAUAAAAUUUUAUUUUCUAUUCAUCUGGAUCUUUUUAAAUGCCAUAAUAUUCUGUUAGUUCUGAAUUCUAAUGUUUUAUUGUUUAUUUACAUCUUUGGAGUUUUCUUACUGCAAAUUACAACUACAUUUCCUUAAUUUUACAUUUUAUAUCACAUUUCAAGAAGCAGACAUUUAGGCUUUCAAUACUGAUCAUAUCUUUGGCCUGCUGGAUGGAUUCCAGUAGCCUUUAAUGCUUUCACUCGAUGUUUAUCUGGAGUGGCUGAGAUGCUAAAGUUCACACAGAAUGGUCGGGACAUUGUGUGAUUGUAAAGACAGAAAAUGUCAGGAAAAUAAAGAUUAUAAUUGAUGUUGCAAUUUUAACAAUAGUAUCACAAUUAGGUAUUUUUUUCUUACAGAAUGCAACCCUGUCUGAGUGAUUAUUAUUUUACUGAAUCUGAUCUAAUUGUUUUUAUCCUCAAUAGAGCACUUUGUGUCAUAAUUAUCGGUAUGAAAAGUCCUUUAUAAAUAAACUGUAAUCAACUAAUUUCUGGAUCUCUGGUGUGUAUAUCACUAUAUAUUUCAUUGCUUCUGUGGCUCCUAAACUUUGAUCUCUGUAUUAACAAGUGAGUGUAUCUGUAUCCACCUAUUUACAGCUUAUAAACUUUAUGGACUUUGCCUCAGUGUUUGUUGUUCUAAUGCAAACCUCCAGCCUGAAAACAAAACCUCGACACUUGCUCUCACAGUUCCCAGUUUCUUUAGCUGUUACACAGAUUAUAUCAAAACAUUGUAUAACCACAAGACAUUACUUGGUAUUUUCUCGAAAUAUAGUGUAACGAUUCUGUGUUUUAGUUCUGCUGGGGUUCAUAUGGUUAUUUGUGUUUGUUAUAAGUUGCAUUGUGAUCCUUUCUGUUAGAGAGUUAUGGGCUUCCCCUGUCUGACUCUCCUGGCUCCCACUCACAUGUGAUAGGCCUGUCAUGUGGGCGGGGGAUCGGGGGAGCGGGAGUACCAGGACCGGAUGUGGGAGAGAGUUCAGAGGGGAGUUAGCAAUGAAGCUAAUGGUUGAUUGUGCCCGUUUGUUAGAGGCGUGAGCUGCAGCCUCAGAAAUAGCAGCUUGUACCUAUUUCUAAUAAACCCUGUUUGGCGGGA